rnacentral:rRNA from 1 species
UACGGAGGGUGCAAACGUUGCUCGGAAUCACUGGGCGUAAAGCGCACGUAGGCGGCUUUCUAAGUCAGGGGUGAAAUCCUGGAGCUCAACUCCAGAACUGCCUUUGAUACUGGAGAGCUUGAGUCCGGAAGAGGUGAGUGGAACUCCGAGUGUAGAGGUGAAAUUCGUAGAUAUUCGGAAGAACACCAGUGGCGAAGGCGGCUCACUGGUCCGGUACUGACGCUGAUGUGCGAAAGCGUGGGGAGCAAACAGG